AAAGAAAGCCCUUCUUGUCCUAAAACAAACAAUAUAUAAUUUGUAUGGGAGACGUAAAUGAGAGAGAGGAAAAUUACAGCUAAACACAAACACCACAAAAGUGUUAAAACAGCCUUGGUCCUUAACGGACAACAGCACAAAAACAGGCUGGUCCUUAAGGGGUUAAUGAAGCAGUUUUGGUGUAUAGAUCAUGUCCCUGCUAUC